UUUGCGUAGAACAACACAUCCUUGAAAUAUGCAAGCCUUGUUGAAAAAGUAGAGAUGUUUGAAAAUUGUUUAAAACUUGAUGUAUCGCCAAAAAUUUGAGCCUUAUUAGUAAUUAUUUUGAAUAUGGCAAAAUAGUUUGGAUCACGCAAGCACUAUCCAAAAUAACCAUAAUUUGAAAGUAUGAAUGUAUUUGGUACCAUAUUUAUACUAAAUAUCGACAAACUACAAUUUUGGUCAAGCGCCUCCUGUCCCCCAGUUUCGGACAGCUUGAUUUUUUGUAUGAUAUCUUUGUAAUUUUUGCACCAGUGUCCAAAAGUACAUUCAUUUUCCAUCGAUUCCGUCGAUCAUGGUUUCAAACAUGCAAUAAAAUUGAGAAAAAUAAAUAUUCAGAACAUCACAGGAAAAUGUGUUAUUUUUCAUUCUAUAGGAAAGAGUUUUUUAAUGGAUAUAUUGCAAGUAAGUAAAACUCAAAAUACUCUGGUGAAUGUGGCAAAUGCUUUGAACUGGCAAUAAAAUACUAUUCCUAGAGUAAAAACAUUCAAUGAUGUAUACAUUCACAGAAUUUCUAGAGGCAUUUCUAGAUCGUGUCUGGUAUUGGGUGCCACAUUUUAUGAUUGAUCAAUUUGGUACCAAAAUGGAUCAUCGAAAUACAAUGUCAAAAUUUAUAUUUAUAUUUUCAAAUUUAUUUUUGUACGCUGCAAAACUGAUAAUAUUUAGGCACCAAGACCGCAUUAAAUCAAUAGUUUUUGAAUUAUGAAUUUUGCAGCUUAGGUGUCCGGUACUGGGGGACUAGAGGAAGAACCACUAGAAAAAAAGAGUUGAAAAAAAAACAAAGAAUUAUUUUAAAA